UGAUAACAUAUCAGAUUGUGAAAAGAAAUUAAUUUCAUUUCUUUUUCUUUUUCCACAUCAUUUUUUGUUCUAAUUUUCACUGUUCACUCAUCUUCUUCAUUGUUCCAUGUUCUUAAUUAUUCCAAUAAUCAAUACAUACAAAAGUUAUUGUUACCCUCUGCAAAAAUUCAACACACGCAACAUAAUUUCUAAUAAUUUUACGAAUAUUGUGUGAAGCAGUGAAUAUGUAUACGUCGGCAAGUGCUUCAAGGACAACUUUGAAAAAUGAUCAUCAUCAUUGGAGUUGGGUUUGUUGUUUUUUGAAAGCUUGAUCUUAACAGCCAUGGUUGCUCUAUGAACAACCAUCAACCGCUUCAACAACAAUCGCCGGAGUUACUGUUUUUAUAAGAGGCACAAAAUCGACAGAUCUGAUGGUGGCUCGCCUGAAAAGAAAAAAAAAUGAAAAAAAAUAAAGGAAAAGGGUAUGUCCAAUGCUUUUUCCAUGGUUGCAGGUGUGAAAUUUCUUAACGAGAUUUGAUGGUCUCACGGCGGCUAACUCUCGCAAGAGGUUUAAACGGUGAUGAACGAAGAACAAAGGGGUUGGGGUGAGGUCUGGCGUGGUUGAGUUUCGUUGAAUUUGUUAUUCCAGAAAUGUUCUCUCGGAAGUGACCGACGGCGGUGGAAACAAAGAGAGCCGGUACAGAUUGCUCAAAGAAGAUGAAGUGGGACCCACUUACCUCCUCUUUUCAUUUUUAUGUUAUUUACGCGCUUAGAAUUAUUUUUUUUGCCACGUCAAUCUCUAAAGUGAUAUUUAAUUCACUUGUAACUUGUUUAAGGGAGUAUUUAAAUACAUGUAAAGUUGCAGUGCUAAAGUAAAUUUUGGGGACAAGUUUGAGAGGGAAUUUAUGUAUUUUUCCUUAAAUUUAUGCUCAAGUUAUUUGAUA